GGCUUCCACGCCAUGCACCUUGACCUCUCACCCCUGACCUUCCUUGUCUGGCCUUAUUUGUGUUUUGUGCAAGCAGGGGACAUGAAGCAGCUGCUGGUGUGGAUCCAACACAACCUGCUGAAGGAGCGACCCCACCUCUUUGUCCAGGGACACUCCGUGAGACCCGGCAUUCUGGUGCUGAUCAACGACGCCGACUGGGAGCUCAUGGGGGAGCUGGACUACCGCCUGCAGGAGCAGGACACGGUGGUGUUUAUCUCCACACUGCACGGGGGCUAGAGCGCACGCCAGCAAGACUCAACCCCAUUGGACGAGGCCUCGGUGACAUUUUUUCAUCUUUUUCUUCUCUUGUGUUUUUCACAUGGCGGCCUGGCCAGAGGCAGGAAGUGGUCAGCUGACACAGGUCCAUUUAGGAGAAGAAAGCGGGUGAGCUCGAUGCGCGCGGCCGCCUGCGCGCUCCCCGCUGGUGUCAGCGUCAACUUACUGCUUUUCUUUGCUUUUCUUUGCUUUUCUCCUCCCAGUGGAGUCGAUAGUUCGAUAUUUGCCAUUUAAAGCAAGCCGCCUUGAUUCCAUGUUCGACAAAGUGUAAAUACUAAGGCCGCCGGGGGAUUACGACGCUCCCUGAACGCAUCACCAGGACUGUCACAUAAAUCCUUUUCAACUCCCCAAAAAAAAAAUUGGCCUUUUUUUUCCCGCCUUACCUGACGCCGUGGCUGGUUCCCGCGCAGCUGCCAGUCUGCAGCAACAGAUGUCCACGCACAAUUCUUGCUUUCUUUGCGCGGGAGCCCACGCAAGAAUUGCGUUUGGACAAUCAGCCGCUAAAAGACCAAGAAGACGUCACGUCGUCCUCAAGUCACACAAAUGUUGACCUUCCAUCAUCUUCCUCUUGGCCUCAAACAUAACAUUUAGCUCAUUAAACCUCUUUUCUCUGCACAUUUCACUCAUAUUUGAUACAAAAACAUGUGCAUGUGCUCUAUACUUUCUUUUUAAGCCUUAAAUCAAGCCUAAAGCAUUUAUUGUUGUCAUAAAAUUACUAUUUUUGUGCACAUUUGACUCAAAUGUUCUAUACUUAGAUGUGCAUGUGCUCUAUACUUUCUUUUUAAGCCCUAAAUAAGGUCUAAAACAUAUUUUUUUGUUAUAAAGUGACUCUUUUUGUGCACAUUGUAGUCAUAUGUUCUACACUAAGAUAUGUUGUCUAUAUUAAUGUCCUCUGACUAUACUUAGUUUGUAAGCCCUAAGGCCUACUUCGCUUUUCACCCUUAAAUCAAACCUAAAAACAUCCUUUUUGUUAUUUAGUGACUUUUUUUGUGCACAUUGUAGUCAGAUGUUCUAUAGUAAGAUGUACAUGUGCACAUUGUAGUCAGAUGUUCUAUAGUAAGAUGUACAUGUGCUCUAUUGUAGUCAGAUGUUCUAUAGUAAGAUGUACAUGUGCACAUUGUAGUCAGAUGUUCUAUAGUAAGAUGUACAUGUGCUCUACAUAAGAAUGUCCUUUGACUACUUUGCUUUUAAGCCUUAAAACAAGCUUAAAACAUUUUUUGUCAUAAAAUGACUCUUUUUGUGCACAUUGUAGUCUUGUUUUCUGUCUUAGUGUGUGAAUGUGAAUGUUGUCUGUCUAUCCGUGUUGGCCCUGUGAUGAGGUGGCGACUUGUCCAGGGUGUACGCCGCCUUCCGCCUGAAUGCAGCUGAGAUAGGCUCCAACACCCCUGCCACCUCAAAAUGGACAAGCAGUAGGAAAUGGAUGAAUGGAUGUGCUCUAUAUUAAUGUCAUUUGACUAUACUUUGCUUUUGACCCCUAAAUAAGGCCUAAAAACAUCAUUUUUGGUCAAUUUUGAACUAUAUGUUCUAUAGUAAGAGAUGCACGUGCUUUAUAUAUAAUAAUGUACUUGGACUGUAAUAUAUAAUAAUGUACUUGGACUGUAAUAUAUAAUAAUGUACUUUGACUGUACUUUUUAACCUAUAAGGCCUACUUUGCUUUUA